CAAGAAGAUAGUGGAACUGCACUUAGAAUAUGAGAGGACUUUCCUGCCCUGAAAUCAUCUAAGUGGAUCAUUUAGUGCAAAGGAUCCAGGAUCAAGUUUUAAAUGAAGGUGACAAUCAAGAUUUCAUUUUGAAUAUAUUUACACAAACGGCAAGAACACUGACUUUAAAUGUCCUGACUUGGAUAGCAAUUUUCAGGCCAGAUUUACUCAGCAUAUCCCAAGUACCAGCUGGAAAAAGCCUCAGGUAUUUACCAUGGAAACAAGACACUGCCCUUGGGCAGUUCUGUAUUUUCUAUUCCUACUGUCCCUUUCUCUCCCAACCACCUUGGGGGCAUUGAUGGUUAAGAAGACCUCCAUUACAGAAGACUCUACAUCAAAGAAUCUUCAUGGAUCUUUAUGAGGCUUCAACAAUAUGUAACUCCUUUUUAUGCCUUACCACCAAGGGAACCAUUAGAAGAUGGGGAUCUAUGUGGAAGAAGUAGACCAAGAGUGACAGAAUUUUAAGCUUGUCCCUAAACCCUGGGUCCUGACAGACUUUUUGCUGAUCCACUGUGAUGUGAAUGGCCUAUGUCACCUGUCCCUGAUGCCAUGAUAUGAAUCUCUCUGCUGUGCUUUCCCCAUCAUGAUGAACUUAAACCCUGAACCCAAAUAUGUCUUCAACCUGCUUGUGUCUGUCAAGGAUUAUCAUCAUAGCAAUGCAAAAUGUAUCAAUGUGUCAAGUAACAGUUAUUGUACCUAGUAAUGGUCCUACUGUGCAAUAGACAGUUAAGAUCUACCAUGCCACCAAUUCAGAUGUGCCAAAGGAGAGUGGGAGAAUACUUCCUUUAGGGGGAAAGGUCUCAAAACAUAUAAAACAUUUACUUGUACCGGCAGGUACUUUCAGUGGUUCUGAGAUGUCUCCGCCCAUAAAUCAGAGGAAUACCUAUAUUUGGAAUUCAGCUUUUUUUGAGGCAUUACUUCUGCAAGUAUGUGUAAUGGAGGAAGGGAUGUCUUUAAGGAAAGAUUCUACUAAUGGAGGUUUCAAAGAAGAUGGCUGCUGUAAGCAAGCUAAUUAGACAUUCACUGCUAACAAUCUUGACCUCAAUUAGGUGAAGGAUUCCUAAUUAAAUCCUUUCAGGCUUUUGUGUUAAAUGGUAAUUGAAUGCCUAAAAGAUCCUCACAAUUAUAUCAUAUUAACAAGAAUGUAUUUGCAUUUUUAAUGCUUUAUUGAUUUCCAAUUCAUUAUAGAGCUGCUUAUGUUAUUUCACAGUGCCGUUGAAACCUUUGUAAACUGUUCUUUGGUGUCCAGACACUCGGGCACAGGUUAGAAAAGUAGCAAAGUUUGUUGUGACCCACUCUGGGCAUUUGCAGACUGCAGUAGCUUAGCUGCCUCUGCCCACAGCUGUCACCACCUCUUUAAACAUUCAUGAGCAUGUAUGCAGGAAGAAGACUUGGGGAAGCUGGAGACACACAGUCUAGACCACUCUCUUGGCUGUUGGUAAAUCUCAUACUCUCAUGAAGUGCCAUCUCUUUUGAGGUAGGCCUUUGCAGAUUUAUUUACUCUAUUAAAUGUAUGGGUGUUAUGUCUGCAUGUAUGUAUGUGUAACAUGUGCAUGAUUGGUGCUUGCAGAGGCUAGAAGAGGAUGUUGGAUACUGUAGGACUGAAGGUAUGGCUAGUUGUGAGCCAUCUUGUGGAUUCUGGGAAUCAAACCCAGGUCCUGCCCAAGAGCAAACAUGCUCUAAACCACUGAGCCAUCUUAAUAGCUCUGAUUCCAGCCCACCCUUCAGAGUUUACAUAUAAUUAGUUCUCCGAAUGAUUUGUUUCUGCACUUAGAAUCUUCAGAUUUCAAUAUGUUGUAUGGUCAUUCUCUUGACACAAAAUUAUGGCUAAUAAUUUAUGUCUAUGUUCAUUAGAGAUGUGAGUGUGGCCUCAUAUCAUUUCAUUCAUCUGUCUCCUUAAAAUUUUUUAAUCGCAUCUGUUAACAGUAUUUCUUUUAAUUCAAUGAUCCUGUCAACCUACCUCUAAA
rnacentral:lncRNA from 1 species